UCCAUCAUGUUUUAUAUGAACCUGCAAUCGCUCUUUAGGUGAAGAUUUAUCAUCCAAGCGCACAAAAGAUCUUCAUCAUCAUCUUCUACUUCCAAAUUCCCAAAUCUUCCAUCUAGGGUUCCGAUUGAGACUUCCAGAGCUGUAAUCGGUGUUUAAAGGGACGAAUUGAAGCUGAAGGUGUUGUCAUCAAGAAGCCGACCACUGUUCAGGAGGGAUUCUGAUUCUGUUAUUUCAAAAUUCUCUGAAAUCUUUCAAUUGGGUCUUGAUCACAGGAAUUACUGUAGGAACCAAAUUCCGUUAUUACCAUCUGUUAUUUCAAAAAAAUACAUAAUCUUAGG